GACAGAGGGUGCAAACGUUGUUCGGAAUUACUGGGCGUAAAGCGCGUGUAGGCGGCAAGGCAAGUCGGAUGUGAAAGCCCACGGCUCAACCGUGGAAGUGCACCCGAAACUGCCUAGCUAGAGUCUCGGAGAGGAAGGUGGAAUGCUUGGUGUAGAGGUGAAAUUCGUAGAUAUCAAGCGGAACACCGGUGGCGAAGGCGGCCUUCUGGACGGUGACUGACGCUGAGACGCGAAAGCGUGGGGAGCGAACAGG
rnacentral:rRNA from 1 species